UACGUAGGGCGCAAGCGUUAUCCGGAAUUAUUGGGCGUAAAGAGCUCGUAGGCGGUUUGUCGCGUCGAAUGUGAAAACCCGGGGCUCAACCCCGGGCCUGCAUUCGAUACGGGCAGACUAGAGUUCGGUAGGGGAGACUGGAAUUCCUGGUGUAGCGGUGAAAUGCGCAGAGAUCGGGAGGAACACCAAUGGCGAAAGCAGGUAACUGGACCAUUACUGACACUCAGCUGCGAAAGCUAGGGGAGCAAACAGGG
rnacentral:rRNA from 1 species